rnacentral:lncRNA from 1 species
AUGCAGAGCUCCUUUGUCAGGAAAGGCUCCUGCAACCCUCCACUAGCUGUCUCAACAAGAGGGGACCUGACGCUGCAGGCUCAGGGUAAGGAGGCCAGGUUAGAAAACCACAGACUGCAUCAGAGAAGAGGGCCUAACAACACAGCCUGGGAAACCAAAUGCUCUCUCCUCGCAGACUGGAGAGAGAUCGAUCAUCAAGGCCCUGGGCCACUCUUGUCCCAUGGACGGACACCAGCAGUGGCUUUGCCUUUGUGGGUGUUGAAAUAUCUGAUGGCUUUAAGAAAGAGGUCCCCAGCAUUUUUCUUCCUGUCCUUUCCAAGGCAGGAAAUUCUACUACACGGCAUCUUUUCACAGGCAUACAGUUAACCAACAGCAGCACCACAUCCCCUGACAUCCUCUCUCUAUUUUUCUCAAGAAGCUGCGUUGCAUCAGGGCAUUGGGCUAAAAGGGAGGAGUGACCAUGCUCUCAAAGCCUGGGGUCUCCCCUGGCUACCCCUUCCUUCUCCAGCUAUACACAGGUCCCAGCAGAGAUCAGAACAGCCUCAGGCCUGCUUUGAACUGGGCCAGCUAGUAACAGCUCCCAUGGGGCUGGUGAGAGCAAAGCACACCCUGCUCUGCUCCCUUCCCAUGCCCCCGCAGUAGGGGUUGCUGGGGCAAGAAGAAAACUGGCACUGCUGUUCCCAUCCCAUCAUGGGGCUUCCCCAGCCCACCCUGCCCCUUUCAUUUGACCAUGAACUGACUCUGAAAGCCCCAAUCCCUGCUCUGCACAGGCAGCUCAAAUCUGGGUUGUGCAUGUUCAAUAAUCAAGAGCAGGUGAAAUACACUGACACAGAAUAUUACAUUUCAGGGGAGUGAGGGUGUACAGAUUUUUUGCAGAACCUCAAAUCAAGUGGCCUACACUGUUUGGGGAGGGGGGGGGGAGCAUUUGCAGCAAACAUAGCAGAUGAGGAAGCAAACCACAGGUAGAGAAGGGAUUGCAGACUAAAGGAUUUAAAAAGGGGGACUACAGCAGGAACACAAGCCUGAGAGUAGGCAAGAGGGAGCCAAAGCUACUGGGCACAAGAGAUUCCCAAGUCCCUGGGAAGCAGCUAACACUACCAAAAGGGCUGGUGCCCUUCCCCCUUUUCCUGCUACUCUUGCUAAUUCUUUUACUGCCGCCAAACCUAAACCACAGCAGUGCUCUUCCCUCCUACACAGCACUCAGCAGUGGUUUUCAGGGCUAUGGAGUAGGCUUUGCAGCUUCCUGGGAGAGGUGGUACCACUGUGAAAUGCUGUGCCAGCCUGGAAAGCAGCAGCCCUGACCCUCCCCGCAUCCUUUUGUGAGCCCCGUACCUGCCACCAACGGGGAGCUCUACCACCAAAAAAU